AACGAACGCUGGCGGCAGGCUUAACACAUGCAAGUCGAGCGCCCCGCAAGGGGAGCGGCAGACGGGUGAGUAACGCGUGGGAACGUACCAUUUGCUACGGAAUAACUCAGGGAAACUUGUGCUAAUACCGUAUGUGCCCGAAAGGGGAAAGAUUUAUCGGCAAAUGAUCGGCCCGCGUUGGAUUAGCUAGUUGGUGGGGUAAAGGCCUACCAAGGCGACGAUCCAUAGCUGGUCUGAGAGGAUGAUCAGCCACACUGGGACUGAGACACGGCCCAGACUCCUACGGGAGGCAGCAGUGGGGAAUAUUGGACAAUGGGCGCAAGCCUGAUCCAGCCAUGCCGCGUGAGUGAUGAAGGCCCUAGGGUUGUAAAGCUCUUUCACCGGUGAAGAUAAUGACGGUAACCGGAGAAGAAGCCCCGGCUAACUUC
rnacentral:rRNA from 2 species